UCCGUUUCUCUCCUCUUGACCUAGCGAAUCAGACGGCUUCGGAGCCUCGGAUGCCCACCUGAACCGGAAGCCGUACUCUCUGUUCGUAUAAUCGUACCAACCGAGAUUUGACUGGGGAGUACUCCUAAUACAACAAAUCAUUAUGUCCAGAUUCAUUGAGAUACGUCACAUCUUGACUCUUUUUAGGACUUGCACCUUUUAUUUGUUGCAUUCGAUUUGAUGUUUAGCGGAUCAUACUAGGAUGAAGGUAUCGUAUACAUAGUGUAUAUCACCAUAGGAUAAAUGCACUAUUUACAUAUAUAGUUUGUGUAAGAAUUUAAUUUGUUGCACUUUUAAUAUAUCGUUUAUAUUAUUAGCGGUUUAAAGGCUUGUUUUCAUAUCAAGGAUAAAAGUGUAAUACGUAGAACGAUUUGCCUUGUUUCUUCACUGCAAAAUCCAACAUAUUUUAAAUUCUAGUUGCUGUAUUCCUGACGCAAAGUAAAUACUCAUCGCUUUACCAGAAUAGAUUUGAAUCCAUAAUCUACCUCUACCAGAGAAUGAAUCUAAAAUCCAUCCAUCCAAACAAGCCAGCCAUAGAUCAACGCACACAGCAAAGCUAUAGCCAAGGAAGAAAUGAAGUAGAGCGAAAAUGCAAGGUGAUCCCAUCCAUCCAAACAAGCCAGCCAUAGAUCAACGCACACAGCAAAGCUACAGCCAAGGAAGAAAUGAAGUAGAGCGAAAAUGCAAGGUGAUCCUAAACCGGCACAUUGUACAUGACUGCAUCUGACAGGUCACAACUAAUUGCUAGAGUUCCAGUUAAAACUGACGCUAGCCUACAAAGGAUGGGUGCAGAUGGAUUACAGACGAUUUGCAGCAAUAAUAUCAAAUACAUGCCCC
rnacentral:lncRNA from 1 species